UGGGGAAUAUCUGCACAAUGGGCGGAAGCCUGAUGCAGCAACGCCGCGUGCGGGAUGACGGCCUUCGGGUUGUAAACCGCUUUCGCCUGUGACGAAGCGUGAGUGACGGUAAUGGGUAAAGAAGCACCGGCUAACUACGUGCCAGCAGCCGCGGUGAUACGUAGGGUGCGAGCGUUGUCCGGAUUUAUUGGGCGUAAAGGGCUCGUAGGUGGUUGAUCGCGUCGGAAGUGUAAUCUUGGGGCUUAACCCUGAGCGUGCUUUCGAUACGGGUUGACUUGAGGAAGGUAGGGGAGAAUGGAAUUCCUGGUGGAGCGGUGGAAUGCGCAGAUAUCAGGAGGAACACCAGUGGCGAAGGCGGUUCUCUGGGCCUUUCCUGACGCUGAGGAGCGAAAGCGUGGGGAGCGAACAGGCUUAGAUACCCUGGUAGUCCACGCUGUAAACGGUGGGCACUAGGUGUGGGGUCCAUUCCACGGGUUCCAUGCCGUAGCUAACGCUUUAAGUACCCCGCCUGGGGAGUACGGCCGCAAGGCUA
rnacentral:rRNA from 1 species